ACCUACGGCCAUACCACCCUGAAUGCGCCCGAUCUCGUCUGAUCUCGGAAGCUAAGCAGGGUUGGGCCUGGUUAGUACUUGGAUGGGAGUCCAAAUUGGGACUUAACAAUUAACUACUGGAA
rnacentral:rRNA from 1 species